rnacentral:rRNA from 1 species
UACGUAGGGAGCAAGCGUUGUUCGGAUUUACUGGGCGUAAAGGGCGCGUAGGCGGCGUGUCAAGUCGAUCGUGAAAUCUCCGGGCUUAACUCGGAACUGCCGAUCGAUACUGACGUGCUAGAGUGCAGAAGGGGCAAUCGGAAUUCUUGGUGUAGCGGUGAAAUGCGUAGAUAUCAAGAGGAACACCUGAGGUGAAGACGGGUUGCUAGGCUGACACUGACGCUGAAGCGCGAAAGCCAGGGGAGCAAACGGG